AACGAACGCUGGCGGCAGGCCUAACACAUGCAAGUCGAGCGCUGUAGCAAUACAGAGCGGCGCACGGGAUAAUAACGCGUGGGAACCUACCUUAUGGUUCGGAAUAACAUCGGGAAACUGGUGCUAAUACCGGAUAAGCCCUUCGGGGGAAAGAUUUAUUGCCAUUAGAUGGGCCCGCGUUAGAUUAGCUAGUUGGUGAGGUAACGGCUCACCAAGGCGACGAUCUAUAGCUGGUCUGAGAGGAUGAUCAGCAUCACUGGGACUGAGACACGGCCCAGACUCCUACGGGAGGCAGCAGUGGGGAAUAUUGGACAAUGGGGGAAACCCUGAUCCAGCCAUGCCGCGUGAAUGAUGAAGGCCUUCGGGUUGUAAAGUUCUUUUGACGGGGACGAUGAUGACGGUACCCGUAGAAUAAGCUCCGGCUAACUUCGUGCCAGCAGCCGCAGUAA
rnacentral:rRNA from 1 species